AGAGUUUGAUCCUGGCUCAGAGCGAACGCUGGCGGCAGGCUUACCACAUUGGCAAAGUCGAAGCGGGCGUAGCAAUACGUCAGCGGCAGACGGGUGAGUAACGCGUGGGAACGUACCUUUUGGUUCGGAACAACACAGGGAAACUUGUGCUAAUACCGGAUAAGCCCUUACGGGGAAAGAUUUAUCGCCGAAAGAUCGGCCCGCGUCUGAUUAGCUAGUUGGUGAGGUAAUGGCUCACCAAGGCGACGAUCAGUAGCUGGUCUGAGAGGAUGAUCAGCCACAUUGGGACUGAGACACGGCCCAAACUCCUACGGGAGGCAGCAGUGGGGAAUAUUGGACAAUGGGGGCAACCCUGAUCCAGCCAUGCCGCGUGAGUGAUGAAGGCCCUAGGGUUGUAAAGCUCUUUUGUGCGGGAAGAUAAUGACGGUACCGCAAGAAUAAGCCCCGGCUAACUUCGUGCCAGCAGCCGCGGUAAUACGAAGGGGGCUAGCGUUGCUCGGAAUCACUGGGCGUAAAGGGUGCGUAGGCGGGUCUUUAAGUCAGGGGUGAAAUCCUGGAGCUCAACUCCAGAACUGCCUUUGAUACUGAAAAUC
rnacentral:rRNA from 1 species